CAGAGUAGGAGGCAGUUCACUCUGGGCACACUAUUCAUCCAAAAGUGAAAAUAUUGCCCCCUAUCCCAAAAAGGAUAGCAUUCUCACAUAGGUUUUCCUUUUGUCCAGGUGGGAAAGGCAGUGUGCAAUAGAGAUUUCAUCAUCUGUAGAUCUGUUGGGGAGGUAUGCAAAUUGGAGUGGGUCUAGGGUUUCUGGGAUAAUGGUGUUGAUUUGAGCCAUGACCAGCCUUUCAAAGCACUUCAUGGCUACAAGACGUGAGUGCUACGGGUCGAUAGUCAUUUAGGCACAUUACCUUAGUGCUCCUGGGCACAGGGACUAUGUUGGUCUGUUUGAAACAUGUUGGUAUUACAGACUCCGUCAGGGACAAGUUGAAAAUGUCACUUGCCAGUUGGUGAGCGCAUGCUCGGAGUACACUUCCUGGUAAUCCAUCUGGCCCUGCGGCCUUGUGAAUGUUGACCUGUUUAAAGGUCUUACUCACAUCGGCUACAGAGAGCAUGAUCACACAGUCGUCAAGAACAGCUGAUGCUCUCAUGCAUGCUUCAGUGUUAUUUGCCUCGAAGCGAACAUAGAAGUAAUUUAGCUCAUCUGGUAGGCUCGUGUCACUGGGCAACUCACGGCUGUGCUUCCCUUUGUAGUCUGUAAGAGUUUGCAAGCCCUGCCACAUCCUACGAGUUUCUGAGCCGAUGUAGUACGAUUCAAUCUUAGUCCUGUAUUGACGCUUUGCCUGUUUGAUGGUUCAUAGCGGGAUUUCUUAUAAGCUUCCGGGUUAGAGUCCCGCUCCUUGAAAGCGGCAGCUCUACCGGUUAGCUCUGUGCAGAUGUGGCCUAUAAUCCAUGGCUUCUGGUUGGGGUACAUACGGUCACUGUGGGGACUACGUCCUCAAUGCACAUAUUGAUGUAGCCAGUGACUGAUGUGGUGUACUCCUCAAUGCCAUCGGAAGAAUCCCGGAACAUUUUCCAGUCUAUGCUAGCAAAACAGUCCUGUAGCUUAGCAUCUGCUUCAUCUGACCUCUUUCUUAUUGACCGAGUCACUGGUGCUUCCUGCUUUAGUUUUUAGUUUGUAAGCAGGAAUCAGGAGGAUAGAAUUAUGGUCAGAUUUGACAAAUAGAGGGCGAAGGAGAGCUUUGUACGCAUGUCUGUGUGUGGAGUAAAGGUGGUCUAGAGUUUUUUUGCCCCUCUGGUUGCACAUUUAACAUGCUGGUAGAAAUGAGGUAAAACGGAUUUGAGUUUUCCUGCAUUAAAGUCCCCGGCCAAUAGGAGUGCUGCCUCUAGAUGAGCGUUUUCCUGUUUACUUAUGGCCGUAUACAGCUCAUUGAGUGCGGUCUUUGUGCCAACAUCGGUUUGUGGUGGUCUGUAGACCGCUAUGAAAAAUACAGAUAAACUCUCUUGGUAAAUAGUGUGGUCUACAGCUUAUCAUGAGAUACUCUACCUCAGGCGAGCAAAACCUUGUGACUUCCUUAGAUUUCGUGCAUCAGCUGUUGUUUACAAAUAUACAUAGACCGCCACCCCUGUUCUAUCUUGCCGAAAAAGCUUAAAACCUGGCAUCUGUAUGUUAUUCAUGUCGUCGUUCAGCCACGACUCGGUGAAACAAAAGAUAUGACAUUUUUUAAUGUCCCGUUGGUAGGAUAUCUAUUUUAUUAUGGAUUGAUUGUACGUUGGCUAUUAGGACCAAUUAUCCUCUCGGCAACGGAUCCUAACAAGGCACCCGGAUCUUUGUUUACGAUACCUCCGUCUCUUUCUCCUGCGAAUGACGGGGAUGAGGGCCUUGUCGGGCAUCUGAAGUAAAUCCUUCCUGUCCGACUCGUUGAAGAAAAAGUUUUCCUCCAGUACGGGGUGAGUAAUCGCUGUCCUGAUGUCUAGAAGCUCUUUUCGGUCAUAAGACACAGUGGCAGAAACAUUAUGUACAAAAUAAUUUACAAAUAACGCAAAAAAAAACAUACACAAUAGCACAACUGGUUACGGGUUCGUAAAACGGCAUCUUUUUCGGCGUCUUAUUCUGGUGACGUGAUAAUCGAUGCUUGGCUGCUUUUUGACAAGCAAAAUUAAUCUUGCUCUUUUGUCCAUAAUAAUAAUCUAAUCAGGUAGGCCAGUGGCUCCUUGUGGCGGGCCGGACACCUGCCAGCUGGGCGGUGUUUCCGCUGAGACAUUGGUGUGGCUUCCGGGUUAAGUGAGCACUGUGUCAAGAAGCAGUGCGGAUUGGCAGGGUCGUGAUUCGGAGGACGCAUGGCUCUCGACCUUCGCCUCUCCCAAGUCCGCAGCAGAGGUAACUCUGGGUCUUCCUUUCCUGUGGCGGUCCUCCUGAGAGCCAGUUUCAUAAUAGCGCUUGAUGGGUUUUGCGACUGCACUUGAAGAAACUGUCAAAGUUCUUAAUUUUCCAUAUUGACUGACCUUCAUGCCUUAAAAUAAUGAACUGUCAUUUCUCUUUGCUUAUUUGAGCUGUUCUUGCUGUAAUAUGGACUUGGUAUUUUAUACCAAAUAGGGCUAUCUUCUAUAUACCACCCAUACAUUGUAACAACACAACUAAUUGUCUCAACUCAUUAGGUAAAUACAUUCCACAAAUGAACUUUUAACAAGGCACACCUGUUAAUUGAAAUGCAUUCCAGGUGAUGACCUCAUGAAGCUGGUUGAGAGAAUGCCAAGAGUGUGCAAAGCUAUCAUCAAGGC
ensembl:lncRNA